ACGGAAGGCAGCAGUGGGGAAUAUUGCACAAUGGGCGAAAGCCUGAUGCAGCGACGCCGCGUGAGUGAAGAAGUAUCUCGGUAUGUAAAGCUCUAUCAGCAGGGAAGAAAAUGACGGUACCUGACUAAGAAGCCCCGGCUAACUACGUGCCAGCAGCCGCGGUAAUACGUAGGGGGCAAGCGUUAUCCGGAUUUACUGGGUGUAAAGGGAGCGUGGACGGUUUGGCAAGUCUGAAGUGAAAUGCGGGGGCUCAACUCCUGAACUGCUUUGGAAACUGUCGAACUAGAGUGCAGGAGAGGUAAGUGGAAUUCCUAGUGUAGCGGUGAAAUGCGUAGAUAUUAGGAGGAACACCAGUGGCGAAGGCGGCUUACUGGACUGUAACUGACGUUGAGGCUCGAAAGCGUGGGGAGCAAACAGGAUUAGAUACCCUGGUA
rnacentral:rRNA from 1 species